rnacentral:lncRNA from 13 species
GGGCAGGGCGGGCACGGCCCCCUCGUCCCGCGGUGCCAUGGGCUCCCUGAUGUCCCCCAGAGCAAGGCGGCAAGAUUUUCGCUCAGUCCUGCGAGGAGAAGCUCCGGCAGAACAGGGAGCUGCUCCCCAGCCUGCAGGCGGCCUUGCAGGAGGAUUCCAGUAUCCUGGAUUUUGUCCUGAAGUACAACAAACUCCCCAUUAAGGAUGCUUUUGGAGAGGGCCAGGAGCUCAUUCCAGCCACUCAGAGUGUGGAGCAUCCAGCCUGGGAAAUACUCUCAUGCCCAUCCAGGCGGUCCAAAAGAAGAUCGAGGCCAAAAUCCAUGACCAGGUGAAGGUGUGUGACAUGCUGCUGCACCAGCUGAAGCAGUGGAGCCAAGCCAGGGACGAGCGCCAGAGGCACCUGCAGGAGCUGCAGGAUGCCGAGACGGAUCCCAAGUGGCAAGAGCCACAGCUGCAGACCAUUCGCCAGCUGGGCAAUGACAUCGAGAAGAUGGUCAUGAAAAUUCACAGUGGACAGAUCGUGACCAACCUGUACCUGAAGCUGCAGGAAAACCUGAGGAGGGAGCUGGUGUACCUGCCUCAGUACCUGGACAUCCUGUGUGGGAUGACUGUGAUGUACCACGAUGAGCUCACGGCCCGGAGCAACCUCAAAGCCAACGAUGUCCUCAGGGUGAGAUAACUGGGGCCCUUCCCACCCUCCAGCACCCACAGACAGCACCACGUACCUGGGCCUGAGAGCCUUCAGCAAGGAGCAAAAGACAGAGCUGAG